rnacentral:rRNA from 1 species
UACGUAGGGUGCAAGCGUUGUCCGGAAUUAUUGGGCGUAAAGAGCUCGUAGGCGGUUUGUCGCGUCUGCUGUGAAAACUCGGGGCUUAACCCCGGGCCUGCAGUGGGUACGGGCAGACUAGAGUGCGGUAGGGGAGACUGGAAUUCCUGGUGUAGCGGUGAAAUGCGUAGAUAUCGGGAGGAACACCAGUGGCGAAGGCGGCUUCCUGGACCGGUUCUGACACUGAGGAGCGAAAGCGUGGGGAGCGAUCCGG